GAUGAACGCUGGCGGCGUGCCUAAUACAUGCAAGUCGAGCGAACAGAUGAGGAGCUUGCUCCUCUGACGUUAGCGGCGGACGGGUGAGUAACACGUGGAUAACCUACCUAUAAGACUGGGAUAACUUCGGGAAACCGGAGCUAAUACCGGAUAAUAUAUUGAACCGCAUGGUUCAAUAGUGAAAGACGGUUUUGCUGUCACUUAUAGAUGGAUCCGCGCCGCAUUAGCUAGUUGGUAAGGUAACGGCUUACCAAGGCAACGAUGCGUAGCCGACCUGAGAGGGUGAUCGGCCACACUGGAACUGAGACACGGUCCAGACUCCUACGGGAGGCAGCAGUAGGGAAUCUUACGCAAUGGGCGAAAGCCUGACGGAGCAAAGCCGCGUGAGUGAUGAAGGUCUUCGGAUCGUAAAACUCUGUUAUUAGGGAAGAACAAAUGUGUAAGUAACUAUGCACGUCUUGACGGUACCUAAUCAGAAAGCCACGGCUAACUACGUG
rnacentral:rRNA from 1 species